rnacentral:rRNA from 2 species
CGGCAAUGGAGGAAACUCUGACCGAGCAACGCCGCGUGAAUGACGAAGUACUUCGGUAUGUAAAGUUCUUUUAUCAAGGAAGAAAAGCAAAUGGCGAACCAUUUGUUUGCCGGUACUUGAUGAAUAAGCCCCGGCUAAUUAUGUGCCAGCAGCCGCGGUAAGACAUAAGGGGCAAGUGUUAUCCGGAAUUAUUGGGCGUAAAGGGUGCGUAGGCGGUCUAGUAAGUCAGUGGUGUAAUGGCAACGCUUAACGUUGUCCGGCUAUUGAAACUGCUAAACUUGAGUUAGAUAGAGGCGAGUGGAAUUCCAUGUGUAGCGGUAAAAUGCGUAAAUAUAUGGAGGAACACCAGAGGCGUAGGCGGCUCGCUGGGUCUUAACUGACGCUGAGGCACGAAAGCGUGGGGAGCAAACAGGAUUAGAUACCCUGGUAGUCCACGCCGUAAACGAUGAGUACUAAGUGUCGGGUUAAACCGGUACUGAAGUUAACACAUUAAGUACUCCGCCUGAGUAGUACGUACGCAAGUAUGAAACUUAAAGGAAUUGACGGGACUCCGCACAAGCGGUGGAUCAUGUUGUUUAAUUCGAAGAUACCCGAAAAACCUUACCAGGUCUUGACAUGUUUUUGCAAAAUGAUAGUAAUAUCGUGGAGGUUACCAGAAACACAGGUGGUGCAUGGUUGUCGUCAGCUCGUGUCGUGAGAUGUUAGGUUAAGUCCUAAAACGAGCGAAACCCUUAUCGUUAGUUGCCAGCACGUUAUGGUGGGGACUUUAACGAGACUGCCAAUGAUAAAUUGGAGGAAGGUGAGGAUCACGUCAAAUCAGCAUGCCCCUUAUGACCUGGGCUACAAACGUGAUACAAUGGCUGUUACAAAGGGUAGCUGAA